rnacentral:rRNA from 1 species
GAUGAACGCUGGCGGCGUGCCUAAUACAUGCAAGUCGAGCGAACGGACGAGAAGCUUGCUUUUCUGAUGUUAGCGGCGGACGGGUGAGUAACACGUGGAUAACCUACCUAUAAGACUGGGAUAACUUCGGGAAACCGGAGCUAAUACCGGAUAAUAUUUUGAACCGCAUGGUUCAAAAGUGAAAGACGGUCUUGCUGUCACUUAUAGAUGGAUCCGCGCUGCAUUAGCUAGUUGGUAAGGUAACGGCUUACCAAGGCAACGAUGCAUAGCCGACCUGAGAGGGUGAUCGGCCACACUGGAACUGAGACACGGUCCAGACUCCUACGGGAGGCAGCAGUAGGGAAUCUUCCGCAAUGGGCGAAAGCCUGACGGAGCAACGCCGCGUGAGUGAUGAAGGUCUUCGGAUCGUAAAACUCUGUUAUUAGGGAAGAACAUAUGUGUAAGUAACUGUGCACAUCUUGACGGUACCUAAUCAAAAAGCCACGGCUAACUACGUG